rnacentral:tRNA from 1 species
GGGCAGGUAGCUCAGUAGGUAGAGCACGGGACUGAAAAUCCCGGUGUCGGCGGUUCGAUUCCGCCCCUGCCCACCA